rnacentral:rRNA from 1 species
ACGGCUCAGUAACACGUGGCUAAUCUGCCCUUAGGACGAGAACAACCCCGGGAAACUGGGGCUAACUCUCGAUAGGCGAAGAACUCUGGAAUGAGUCUUUACCUAAAUAGUGCAACGUUAUCCUCGUUGCAUCGCCUAAGGAUGAGGCCGCGACCGAUCAGGUUGUUGGCGAGGUAAUGGCUCACCAAGCCUUUUACCGGUGCGGGCCGUGAGAGCGGGAGCCCGGAGAUGGGCACUGAGACAAGGGCCCAGGCCCUACGGGGCGCAGCAGUCGCGAAAACUUUGCAAUAAGCGAAAGCUUGACAGGGCUAUCCCGAGUGCCAUCCGCUGAGGAAGGCUUUUACCCAGUCUAGAACGCUGGGGGAAUAAGGAGAGGGCAAGUCUGGUGUCAGCCGCCGCGGUAAUACCAGCUCUCCGAGUGGUGUGGAUGUUUAUUGGGCCUAAAGCAUCCGUAGCUGGCUAGGUCAGUCCCUUGUUAAAUCCACCGAAUUAAUCGUUGGAUUGCGGGGGAUACUGCUUGGCUAGGGGACGAGAGAGGCAGACGGUAUUUUCGGGGUAGGGGUGAAAUCCUAUAAUCCCGGGAAGACCACCAGUGGCGAAGGCUGUCUGCUAGAACGCGCCCGACGGUGAGGGAUGAAAGCUGGGGGAGCGAACCGGAUUAGAUACCCGGGUAGUCCCAGCUGUAAACGAUGCAGACUAGGUGUUUGGACGGCCACGUGCCGUUCUAGUGCCGCAGGGAAGCUGUUAAGUCUGCCGCCUGGGGAGUACGAUCGCAAGAUUGAAACUUAAAGGAAUUGGCGGGGGAGCAC